rnacentral:rRNA from 1 species
GACGAACGCUGGCGGCGUGCUUAACACAUGCAAGUCGAACGGAAAGGCCCUGCUUUUGUGGGGUGCUCGAGUGGCGAACGGGUGAGUAACACGUGAGUAACCUGCCCUUGACUUUGGGAUAACUUCAUGAAACUGGGGCUAAUACCGGAUAGGAUCUCCUGCUGCAUGGUGGGGGUUGGAAAGUUUCGGCGGUUGGGGAUGUACUCGCGGCUUAUCAGCUUGUUGGUGGGGUAGUGGAUUACCAAGGCUUUGACGGGUAGCCGGCCUGAGAGGAUGACAGGACAAAUUGGGACUGAGCUAAGGCCCAGACUACUACGGGAGGCAGCAGUGGGGAAUAUUGCACAAUGGGCGGAAGCCUGAUGCAGCAAAGCCGCGCGCGGGAUGACGGCAAUCGGGUUGUAAACCGAUUUCGCCUGUGACGAAGCGAGAGUGACGGUAAUGGGUAAAGAAGCCCCGGCUAACUACGUG